rnacentral:rRNA from 1 species
GACGAACGCUGGCGGCGUGCUUAACACAUGCAAGUCGAACGGAGUGGCGAACGGGUGAGUAACCCGUGGGUGACCUGCCCUGUACUUCGGGAUUAGCCUGGGAAACUGGGUCUAAUACCGGUUAGUGGGGGAUGGGCCCGCGGCCUAUCAGCUUGUUGGUGGGGUAAUGGCUGACCAAGGCGGCGACGGGUAGCCGGCCUGGGAGGGUGGACGGCCACAUUGGGACUGAGACACGGAGCAGACUCCUACGGGAGGCAGCAGGGGGGAAUAUUGCACAAUGGGGGGAAGCCUGAUGCAGCGACGCCGGGUGGGUGAUGACGGCCUUCGGGUUGUAAACUCCUUUGACCAUCGACGCGGUAGAUGGAGAAGAAGCACCGGCUAACUACGUGCCAGCAGCCGCGGUAAUUC